rnacentral:snRNA from 2 species
CUCCCUUCGGGGACAUCCGAUAAAAUUGGAACGAUAUAGAGAAGAUUAGCAUGGCUCCUGCGCAAGGAUGACACGAAUAAAUCGAGAAAUGGUCCAAAUUUUU